AAGACUAUACUUUCAGGGAUCAUUUCUAUAGUUUGUUACUAGAUAUGCACUAAGGUGUCAGGCUACAAAAUUAA
rnacentral:snoRNA from 1 species